AAUCAAUUAAAAACAUUUCAUGGAAAAGAAUCUAAAAAAGAGUAGAUAUACAUACAUGUAUAACUGAUUCACUUUGCUGUUCAGUAGAAACUAAUACUUUUUUUUUUUAAUUUGAGAGAACAAUUUCUUGUUAUAAUGAACCAGAAACAAAAGAUUUUACUGAAACUGAAGAGUUGACAGACUGUGGUUGAACUUAAACCUUCAGGGGGAGUAAGAAGAGGGUCAACAAAGUCGAUGAAUGGAGAAGCCCAAGAUUAGUCUUGGGUAAACAAAAGGAUAACAACACUUCAGCAAGGUUAUCUUCUGACCCUCCCACCAGAUUCUUUACUGCCUGAGCCACCAGGAAAGCCCACAGAUAUAUGUACAUGAAGAGGUUUUGCUUCUCCAGAUAAAAUUGAGAGGAAUAAAUAUUAAAGUCUUGGUCAUUUGCAGUUUCAUGUUACUAGUGAAGAAAGAAUUCAUAGGGCCUGGACUCAGUCUGAGGCCUGUCCGUGCUGAUCGUGCUCGGCUGCCUCUCCAGUGGACUCUGAACUCUGCUUAGUGCCUGUGGGAACGACAAUGGAAGGAUAAGACCCCCUCCAGACAGGGGAACCUUGAAGAUCAUAUCCAGGUUACUCAUCGCCUAAGAGAAAACAGACACUAAUCACCCCUGCCUCCGGACAGUAUCUAUCGGCAUGUAACCACAGGCUUAUCGGUUAUUAACUGGUUGGAAUGUAACCGCGGGCUUAUUGAUUAUUAACUGUUUGAACACAUAACACGUGAAUGACGGGGUUAUUGUGAUUGUAUUUACCCUUCCUUUGUAAGCCUCAAGGGAUUUGGGGUGGUGGGUUUGGACACGUACACAUGUGGUAUAAAAGAUUUCCACAAAUGCUGGUCGGGGUCCUUGGCUAAGAGGAGACUCUGCUUUGGGCCCACCGGUGUAAUAAACUGC
rnacentral:lncRNA from 1 species